rnacentral:rRNA from 1 species
GUCUAUUUGAAGGUAUAAAAAGUCUAACCUGCCCACUGAAAAGUUUUGAAGGGCCGCGGUAAUCUGACCGUGCAAAGGUAGCAUAAUAGUUAGUUUUUUAAUUGGAAUCUUGUAUGAAUGGUUGAACAAAAGAAUAUCUGUCUCUAUAUAUAUUUUGAAUUUAACUUUUAAGUGAAAAGGCUUAAAUGUUUUAAAAAGACGAUAAGACCCUAUAAAGCUUGAUAAAUUUUUUUAUCUAGUUAAAUUUUUAUAUAAAAAUUAAGUAAUUAGAAUUUAUUGUGUUGGGGCGACAAUAAUAAAAUGUUUGUUAACUGUUUACAUUUAAGACAAAUAAUAGUUGAUUAAAAUUAUAAAUGAUCCUUUUUAAAGAUUAAAAGUUUAAGUUACUUUAGGGAUAACAGCGUUAUUUUUUUUGAGAGUUCAUAUCGACAAAAAAGUUUGCGACCUCGAUGUUGAAUUAAAAUUUCUUUAUAAUUGCAGAAGUUAUAAUAGAAGGUCUGUUCGACCUUUAAAUUUUUACAUGAUUUGAGUUCAGACCGGCGUGAG